AUUGAACGCUGGCGGCAGGCCUAACACAUGCAAGUCGAGCGGAGCGGCGGACGGGGGAGUAAUGCCUAGGAAUCUGCCUGGUAGUGGGGGAUAACGUCCGGAAACGGGCGCUAAUACCGCAUACUAUCAGACGAGCUUUGGUCGGAUUAGCUAGUGGGUGGGGUAAUGGCCUACCAAGGCAACGAUCCGUAACUGGUUAGAGAGGAUGAUCACUCACACUGGAACUGGGACACGGUCCAGACUCCUACGUGAGGCAGCAGGGGGGAAUAUUGGAAAAUGGGCGAAAGCCUGAUCCAGCAAUGCCGCGUGUGUGAAGAAGGUCUUCGGAUUGUAAAGCACUUUAAGUUGGGAGGCGUUACCAACAGAGUAAGCACCGGCUAACUUCGUGCCAGCAGCCGCGGUAAUAC
rnacentral:rRNA from 1 species